GCGCCUGUAGCUCAGCGGAAGAGCAACGGCCUUCUAAGCCGUGGGUCGGAGGUUCGAAUCCUCCCAGGCGCA
rnacentral:tRNA from 2 species